rnacentral:sRNA from 1 species
UUUUUAAUUUAAAAAAUAUAAAAUGACACAUGUCAUUUUUCUUGUGUGAUGAUGUGUCAUUCAUAUGGAGAGAGUUGGCCAACUUCAUAUAUAUGAUUAUAAUCGAGAAAAAGAGCCAAAACGAGUUAGGACAUCUUCAAAAUUACUCUUUAUUUUCAAAUAUGAAUUUUUUUUGUACUAGAAAAAUAACUUCAAAACUUUAAACUUGACUCCCAAAAAUAACUUCUUUUU